UGAGUCGGCCGCGCCCAAGUCCAUUGGAACAUGGCGCCUGGGAGGGUGAGAGCCCCGUAUGGCGCACGCCGACUCUUUGUACACCGCGGCUCCGACGAGUCUAGUUGUUUGGGAAUGCAGCUCUAAGUGGGUGGUAAAUUCCAUCUAAAGCUAAAUAUUGACGAGAGACCGAUAGCGAACAAGUACGGUGAUGGAAAGAUGAAAAGCACUUUGAAAAGAGAGUGAAACAGCACGUGAAAUUGUUGAAAGGGAAGGGCUUGCAA
rnacentral:rRNA from 1 species